rnacentral:tRNA from 1 species
CCCAGAUAGUUAAACAAAACACUUAGGUCGUGACCCUAAAAAAUAGAGCCGCCCUCUUCUGGGCU